rnacentral:snoRNA from 14 species
GCCAUCGGUCCGGAGUUGAUGGGUUCUCUAAUACUUCUGGUUUCCUUGUGAAACACCCCCUCGUUCUGCAGUUCAUUCUGUGGUAAAGACCCCGCGUUCUUCACCGUUCGCAAUCCUAACCCCAUCAACACCAACUUGACCGUUGU